CCUACGGGAGGCAGCAGUGAGGAAUAUUGGUCAAUGGACGGGAGUCUGAACCAGCCAAGUAGCGUGAAGGAUGACUGCCCUAUGGGUUGUAAACUUCUUUUAUAUGGGAAUAAAAUGUUCCACGUGUGGGAUUUUGUCUGUACCAUAUGAAUAAGGAUCGGCUAACUCCGUGCCAGCAGCCGCGGUAAUACGGAGGAUCCGAGCGUUAUCCGGAUUUAUUGGGUUUAAAGGGAGCGUAGGUGGAUUGUUAAGUCAGUUGUGAAAGUUUGCGGCUCAACCGUAAAAUUGCAGUUGAAACUGGCAGUCUUGAGUACAGUAGAGGUGGGCGGAAUUCGUGGUGUAGCGGUGAAAUGCUUAGAUAUCACGAAGAACUCCGAUUGCGAAGGCAGUUCACUGGACUGCAACUGACACUGAGGCUCGAAAGUGUGGGUAUCAAACAGGAUUAGAUACCCGUGUAGUC
rnacentral:rRNA from 1 species